rnacentral:misc_RNA from 1 species
AACGCACAUUGCGCCCUCUGGUAUUCCGGAGGGCAUGCCUGUUCGAGCGUCAUUAUCACCCCUCAAGCUCGGCUUGUUGUUGGAUGCAGCCGCCCACACCCGGGUGGUUCCUCCCAAAGAUAAUGGCGGCGUCUGUGGAAGGACUCCAGUACACUGAGCUUUCGGGCACGUACUCGGAUAGAACUCCAGGCCCGGUCUUCUGUCACCUAUUGUCUUAGGUGGCUACUUUUACCAAGGUUGACCUCGGAUCAGGUAGGAAUACCCGCUGAACUUAA